rnacentral:tRNA from 1 species
CGGGUGUAGCUCAGUCGGUUAGAGCGCUUGGUUGUGGCCCAUGAGGUCGCCGGUUCAAGUCCGGUCACU